rnacentral:rRNA from 1 species
CCUACGGGUGGCAGCAGUGAGGAAUAUUGGUCAAUGGACGGAAGUCUGAACCAGCCAUGCCGCGUGCAGGAAGACGGCUCUAUGAGUUGUAAACUGCUUUUGUACAAGGGUAAACCUGAAUACGUGUAUUCAGCUGAAAGUACUGUACGAAUAAGGAUCGGCUAACUCCGUGCCAGCAGCCGCGGUAAUACGGAGGAUCCAAGCGUUAUCCGGAUUUAUUGGGUUUAAAGGGUGCGUAGGCGGUUUGAUAAGUUAGCGGGGAAAUGUCCGAGCUUAACUCGGGAACUGCCUCUAAUACUGUUGAUCUAGAGAGGAAGUGCGGUAGGCGGAAUGUAUGGUGUAGCGGUGAAAUGCUUAGAGAUCAGACAGAACACCGAUUGCGAAGGCAGCUUACCAGUCUAUAUCUGACGUGGAGGCACGAAAGCGUGGGGAGCAAACAGGAUUAGAUACCCGUGUAGUC